rnacentral:rRNA from 1 species
AUUGAACGCUGGCGGCAGGCCUAACACAUGCAAGUCGAACGGUAGCACAGAGAGCUUGCUCUCGGGUGACGAGUGGCGGACGGGUGAGUAACGUCUGGGAAACUGCCCGAUGGAGGGGGAUAACUACUGGAAACGGUAGCUAAUACCGCAUAACGUCGCAAGACCAAAGUGGGGGACCUUCGGGCCUCACACCAUCGGAUGUGCCCAGAUGGGAUUAGCUAGUAGGUGGGGUAAUGGCUCACCUAGGCGACGAUCCCUAGCUGGUCUGAGAGGAUGACCAGCCACACUGGAACUGAGACACGGGCCAGACUCCUACGGGAGGCAGCAGUGGGGAAUAUUGCACAAUGGGCGCAAGCCUGAUGCAACCAUGCCGCGUGUAUGAAGAAGGCCUUCGGGUUGUAAAGUACUUUCAGCGGGGAGGAAGGCGGUGAAGUUAAUAACCUCACCGAUUGACGUUACCCGCAGAAGAAGCACCGGCUAACUCCGUGCCAGCCGCCGCAGUAA